rnacentral:rRNA from 1 species
UACGUAGGGGGCGAGCGUUGUCCGGAAUUACUGGGCGUAAAGGGUACGCAGGCGGCCAUGUAAGUCAGAUGUGAAAGGUCACGGCUCAACCGUGGUAAGCAUUUGAAACUGUGUGGCUUGAGUUAAGGAGAGGAAAGUGGAAUUCCUGGUGUAGCGGUGAAAUGCGUAGAUAUCAGGAGGAAUACCAGUGGCGAAGGCGACUUUCUGGACUUAAACUGACGCUGAGGUACGAAAGCGUGGGGAGCAAACAGG